AAGAAACAGAGACAUAACAACUUAGCAAUGCAAAAUGAGCUCCAGGCAUCAGGGACACCAGGUUGCAGGUCAGAGUCAGAGGCUGAUCAUCAUCUCUAAGGUCAACUUCUGCACAGCACUGUGCCCAAACAGGCAGGUCCCAGGAAGAGGCUCAUUAGCCCUGCACUAUCCCAAUGGCUGCAUGGCUUACCAGUCAGAUCUGGGCUGUGACCACCAGCUGGAAGGACCAACGAAGCAACUCUGCUCCCUAGAAAGUCUGCACUCUCCAGUCAAUUAUCUUUGAGAAUUUGGUGUAUGUAGUGAUUUGAUUAAAAUCAGGGAUCUUCCUCA